CUGAAGAUUUUGAUCAAUCUUUCUUUGCUUUUCGUGUUCUCUAAUGUGACACAAGUGGAUGGUUCUGGGUUCUUCAGCCUUUUAAGAUACAAGUUGAUUAGAAUAAAAUAGUUACUUCAUCUCGAAGUAAUUAAUAGGUCCUUUGUGUGUUGCAUUUAUCCUUAAUUACUGUAAUUAGCUUUCUUAAUCCCCAUCUCUCUCUUUAGCAAGUUGUAUGUUGUGGAUGUAUUACACGUGUCUUUUUGCACAGGGUUAUUUUGAUUUCUCAAUUAGAGAUCCAACGGUUCAUUUUAUAGUGGGCACUAGUUUCAAUUUGCUUGUCCUAUCACAAUGUGUUUUCUCUUUUCAAUACAUUGGUCUCCUCAUUAACCAUUUGUUGAGCUUAGGUUCAAAGAUCAUCCGACGGACAGGAUCCUCUAGGUAGGAUGAUUAAAUGAAUAGAGGCACAGUGAGUCUGUGACUUCUUUUGCUUUCUUUUGUACACAGAAGAGUGUGGGGCUGGUAGGGUAGGGUCCAUUCUAUUCACUGUUGUUCAUGUAAUUGUCAGACCAAAGUUUUUACCUUUUGCCCAUACUUUUAAAGUUAAUUACUCUUAGAAAAAGACUUCGCGUUAAUUUGAAAAUCUUUUUACUGUUUUUUUUUUCUUGUGAUCUGAAAAUAAGUAGAAGAUGCUUUUUGUGGGUUGAUCUAUAUUUUCAAUUAGAAAGCAUUAUUCUUUGAGUUAAGACCACCUAUAGAUCCUUAAUCACUGUAAUUAGUGUUGGUAUUGCUGGGGUUUUCUUUUUUCUUUUUUAUAAAAUUUUCCAGAAGUUGGUUUGAAUGUGGAAGUGUUAUCAUUCUUAUACUAUCUAUGGAGCCAUUAUUUGAAAAGUUGUUCAUAAUUUUAUAGGUUUAUCUUGAGAUCCCUACAAUAAAGUGCUUAGUGUUUCCGUCCUCUUUAUACUUUGGAAUUUUUAUGGUGAGAUUACUCAUUGGUCAUUACACUAUUGUCUCCAUUGUGAUGGACACAUUGGAAAUGGUAAAACUUGUUAUGGGGAAAGAGGAUUUGUUGAGAAAUUAGAUUGUUUCACUUUCACUUUUUAAGGGGUCCAAGGCAAUGCAUUUGCUGGUCUUCUUGUGGACUAACAGAUCGCCCCUUAAUCAAGGUUAAAUGUGAGCUGUAAGGGUGCUUCUUAGUACUAUAUAUGUCUUUAAGGGUAGUAUAAAGUGCAUCUAGAAACAUGGUCUUGAUAGGAAUCCAGAUACUGAAGCUGGUUUUCCUCCAAACCACCUUGAAAUGCAAAACUUUGCCUUAGCUUUUUCCCCACAGGCAUGCACUGCUGGAAGUGGCAACGGUUGGCAAAGAUGCUUAUAGGUCUUUUUUAGAUGCUCAACACGCUUUGCAUUUUAGAAAAACGAACAAGAAUCCGUGAAGGGUUUGUUUAGUGGUUUAACCACAACAAAAAGUUUCGUUCUGUUCUUCCAAAGGAAUUAAGAUCUCAUAAGCUGGAUAGGAAUUUCAAACACAUUUAUGGUUACAGAUAUAUUUGUCUUUAAAAUAUUAAACAUCUUGUCUUGUAUCUUACUGGUUUUCUAGAUUGUGCUUCAUGAAUGUUGGAUUAUAUAAUACUUCAACAACUCAUGUUACUGGGUUCCAAUGAAUAAAAAAUUAUCUUUUGUCUUCA